CUGUUGCUGUGAUGAAUCAUGAAUGAAUUCACAUGUCAGACUUCAGAUAUGCUUUACCUAUCAGGAAAAUGCGACUACUAAGAAUCAC
rnacentral:sRNA from 1 species